rnacentral:rRNA from 1 species
UGGGGAAUAUUGGACAAUGGGGGAAACCCUGAUCCAGCAAUGCCGCGUGAGUGAUGAAGGCCUUAGGGUUGUAAAGCUCUUUCGACGGGGACGAUGAUGACGGUACCCGUAGAAGAAGCCCCGGCUAACUUCGUGCCAGCAGCCGCGGUAAUACGAAGGGGGCUAGCGUUGUUCGGAAUUACUGGGCGUAAAGGGCGCGUAGGCGGUCUUGUAAGUCAGAUGUGAAAGCCCCGGGCUCAACCCGGGAAUAGCAUUUGAUACUGCGAGGCUUGAGUCCGGGAGAGGAUGGCGGAAUUCCCAGUGUAGAGGUGAAAUUCGUAGAUAUUGGGAAGAACACCGGUGGCGAAGGCGGCCAUCUGGACCGGUACUGACGCUGAGGCGCGAAAGCGUGGGGAGCAAACAGGAUUAGAUACCCUGGUAGUCCACGCCGUAAACGAUGUCGACUAGCCGUUGGGAGUCUUGAACUCUUAGUGGCGCAGCUAACGCAUUAAGUUGACCGCCUGGGGA